AAUAUUAGACAAUGGGCGAAAGCCUGAUCCAGCCAUGCCGCGUGUGUGAAGAAGGUCCUCGGAUUGUAAAGCACUUUAAGUGGGGAGGAAGGGCAGUAAGUUAAUAUGUUUCUGUUUUGACUUUACCGACAGAAUACGCCCCUGCUAACGUGGUUCCACCAGCCGCGGUAAUACGAAGGGUGCAAGCGUUAAUCGGAAUUACUGGGUGUAAAGCGCGCGUAGGUGGUUUGUUAAGUUGGAAGUGAAAGCCCCGGGCUCAACCUGGAAACUGCUUUCAAAACUGGCAAGCUAGAGUAUGGCAGAGGGUGGUGGAAUUUCCUGUGUAGCGGUGAAAUGCGUAGAUAUAGGAAGGAACACCAGUGGCGAAGGCGACCACCUGGGCUAAUACUGACACUGAGGUGCGAAAGCGUGGGGAGCAAA
rnacentral:rRNA from 1 species